rnacentral:rRNA from 1 species
AACGAACGCUGGCGGCAUGCCUAACACAUGCAAGUCGAGCGAUCUUCUUCGGAAGAGAGCGGCGGACGGGUGAGUAACGCGUGGGUAACCUGCCCUGUACACACGGAUAACAUACCGAAAGGUAUGCUAAUACGAGAUAAUAUGCUUUUAUCGCAUGGUAGAAGUAUCAAAGCUUUUGUGGUACAGGAUGGACCCGCGUCUGAUUAGCUAGUUGGUAAGGUAACGGCUUACCAAGGCGACGAUCAGUAGCCGACCUGAGAGGGUGAUCGGCCACAUUGGAACUGAGACACGGUCCAAACUCCUACGGGAGGCAGCAGUGGGGAAUAUUGCACAAUGGGCGAAAGCCUGAUGCAGCAACGCCGCGUGAGCGAUGAAGGCCUUCGGUCGUAAAGCUCUGUCCUCAGGAAGAUAAUGACGGUACUUGAGGAGGAAGCCCGGCUAACUACGUGCCAGCAGCCGCGGUAACUAGUCUACG